rnacentral:lncRNA from 1 species
AUGGGCAUUGGGCGUCCAGUCCAGCUGACACCUGCUGGUUUCUGUUCCUGGCAGAUCCUCCAAGUCCCUGGGUGUGACUUGGAGCAAGCCUCAAGAUCACGACCCAAGGCUGGUCUGCAGAAGGGCUGUGAGUGGACGCAAGGCUCACUCCUGCACAGAGGCUCUUGUGACAUCUUGCACAACACAGGCCACUGUCACCUACUGCACGGAGUCACGGCUGAGGUUACCACGUCGAGUCACCGGCAUCGUCAACAAAGUCGAUCUUGUCCUUUGGAAAGGGGCGCUGAUGGGACGGGACAGGAGGACCAGGUCCCCAGCUGCCUACCCCUUCAUGAGGACAGGGAACCCCCAUCUGACUGCUCCUCUCUCCCCCUGCUCCACCCACCUCAAUACCCAGACAGACACGACAGAAGCCACCUCAUGGAGUUCUUUUGGGGCCACUGACGUCGCUGAUGCGCAGAAUGAAUCACCCAGCCUGACACAGUAAGUGUUCCAUAAAUACGAGGUUUGGUUGAAAAAUACGGUGACUGUUUAAGUAAGCAGAUGCGUUACUGUAAAAGACACAUCGUUUCCAUUAGUUCGCUUCAGAACAUGCCCUGUUGCUUCCAAAACUCUUCCAACCAUUCUUGCCCCUUGUGGAGGCAGCUGUGGAAGUGCUCUUCGGUGAGUGUCUUUAGGGUGCUGUUACAUGUACCUUGACGUCCAGAGUCUGUUCAAAGCAUUUACCCUUCCUGGUCAUUUUGAUUUUGAAAAGAGCCAGAGGUUUGCACGGUGCCAGAUCCAGUGGAUAAAGUGCUCGAGGACACACAGUAACGUCUUCGGGAGCCUGACUUUCCAUCGGAUGGCAGUGGACUGCAGCGUUCACCGUGUUCGUAUCACACCUUGUGUGUCAGUUACUGUUCCUGUUGUUGAGACAAAACACUCCACACCCAAGGUUAAAGGAGGAAAGGUUUAUUUGAGCGCACAGUCUGCAGAGGCCUCAGCCCAUAGUUUUUUUGUUCCAAGGCAGGGCAGCAUGGCAGAGGAGUCUAUGGCAGGGAAGGCAGGAGGCAGCAAGCAGCAGCAGCACCCUGCUUUCCCUCUCUCCCUUUCUAUCCCUUCCCGGCAGUAAGACUAUGCGGUGGAGCUUCCAUUUUCCACACUCUCAGUCCCAGAAUCACACCCUUAAUCUACUUUCACACACCCCAGUACGGUGACACACAAGGCUCUGGGGAGACCGCUUAGACAUAAGCCAUAACAGCUCCUAAAGAUUCUCGUGAAGGACGAUUACCAGACGCUUCAGAAAGCUGGAACAAUGGGAUAAGUGUGUUGGAAGUGAGGGGGAGCAUUUUGAGAGACAUCAAUGGCGAUGUGUUAUAAUUUUUAAAGUGUAAACGUCCAUUAUACAUUUUGAUCACACCUCGUAGCAUUACUGUAGAAAAUACAAAAACACACAGUGCUCUAAGAUGGAAGGCAUACCCACCACAAGUUUCAGUCAGACGGGAUGAGUAAGUUCCAGAGAGCUGCUGAACAGUGCAGUGAGGUGCUUAGUAAUAACGCACUGUAUACUUGAAAGACAGAUCUAUGAAGACAGAUGCUAGAAUACACUCACACACACACAUGCAC